rnacentral:rRNA from 1 species
GAUGAACGCUGGCGGCGUGCCUAAUAAAUGCAAGUCGAGCGAACGGACGAGAAGCUUGCUUCUCUGAUGUUAGCGGCGGACGGGUGAGUAACACGUGGAUAACCUACCUAUAAGACUGGGAUAACUUCGGGAAACCGGAGCUAAUACCGGAUAAUAUUUUGAACCGCAUGGUUCAAAAGUGAAAGACGGUCUUGCUGUCACUUAUAGAUGGAUCCGCGCUGCAUUAGCUAGUAGGUAAGGUAACGGCUUACCAAGGCAACGAUGCAUAGCCGACCUGAGAGGGUGAUCGGCCACACUGGAACUGAGACACGGUCCAGACUCCUACGGGAGGCAGCAGUAGGGAAUCUUCCGCAAUGGGCGAAAGCCUGACGGAGCAACGCCGCGUGAGUGAUGAAGGUCUUCGGAUCGUAAAACUCUGUUAUUAGGGAAGAACAUAUGUGUAAGUAACUGUGCACAUCUUGACGGUACCUAAUCAGAAAGCCACGGCUAACUACGUG